AGGGUGCGGCUGCUGGUGCUGACAACCCAGAAUUGAGAAAUCGUACACUUUAUACUGGUAGGGAAUGUACCACUGCAUAUAAAGGGUUAUUGGAACAUGUACAGUAUACAAUUAAUAAACCAUCGUUAGAAGCCAAACAAAAACUGGUUGAGUUUUCCAAGAAAGUGGCAACCUCCGUUGGAGAAUUGGUGCAGUGUGCAGAGGCUCUGAAAGGUUCUGACUGGGUGGAUCCAGAGGAUCCGCAUGUGAUUGCAGAGAAUGAACUUUUGUCUGCUGCGUCAUCCAUUGAAGCUGCAGCAAGAAAACUGCAACAACUCAGACCAAGGCAGCAGCAUAGGG